UGAGGGUGCAUGAUCAUUCAGUUGUACUGUUGUGGCUUGUAUCUCAACAGAUACAGUUGUGCUUGGCAGGGUUAAAUUGUUGUUUCUUACAUUGCUAAAA